CCGACGCCACUAUCUCGCGCCCCAGCGCGAGAAUUGUGGUCUGAGUCGAACAAUUUUGACCUCCUGUAGUACAACGACCAUAACCUUUUCAUACAAACUCCGAUUGAGGUGAUUCAAGAUGAUCCGGAAAGAAGACGAAUAGAACUACAAAUUUUGUUUUUAAGUGUUUCAAUUUGAGGUCGGUAUCAGGGGUCAAAAUGAUCAUUUGUGGGACUGAUAUGUAUUAGGAGGCAAUCGGUGGGCGUCGAGAAUGCACUUAUGCAAAUGUAGUGCUCAUGAUGAUAAAAGAUGUUGUCG
rnacentral:lncRNA from 1 species